GCUGAGGGGGGAGGAGGAGUCACGAGGAGGGCGGCCCGGCCGCGCCUCCCGCCCGGACUCCGGCCGUCUGCCCUCCGCCCCGGCCCACUAGCGCCGCUGGCCGCACCGUUCCCCUGCCUUCUUCCGGGCUCCCAGAGCACAGCUAUGGAGAUGCCCUUCCGGAAUUUGGGGGAAGAACUGAUUGUCCUCAUCCUACAACUGUACUUGCCCAACCAAUAUUUAUUGAUGCCUGCAGUGCCCUGGGUGCCUACCAAGGGGCACAGAACUGGAUCAGACUCGGAUCCUGCCUGCCCUCAGGUUGCUUGAAGAUGAACAGAGAGAUCGGACCUCUGUAUGAAGCCAGACUGCUCAUCAUUCCAGACAUCUUCAGCUGCUACACCCAGAACAAGCAUUCGAAAGAUGAACAGGAUGAUGGCUCUUUUUAUUAGUUGGCUUAUAAUAGGGGCAGGUCAGUUUGCUGGAGAUAGAAAAACGUUGAAAAACACAGCAAACAAGAC